ACUCCUACGGGAGGCAGCAGUGGGGAAUCUUGCGCAAUGGCCGAAAGGCUGACGCAGCGACGCCGCGUGUGGGAGGACGCCCUUCGGGGUGUAAACCUCUGUUGCCCGGGACGAAUGGCUUGCUUUGGCGAGCUUGACGGUACCGGGUGAGGAAGCGCCGGUUAACUCCGUGCCAGCAGCCGCGGUAAUACGGAGGGCGCGAGCGUUGUCCGGAAUCACUGGGCGUAAAGGGCGCGUAGGCGGCUCGAUAAGGCUUGCGUGAAAGUCCGGGGCUCAACCCCGGAUCGGCGCGGGCGACUGUUGGGCUGGAGCACGGUAGGGGCAGACGGAAUUCCGGGUGUAGCGGUGAAAUGCGUAGAGAUC
rnacentral:rRNA from 1 species